GCCAGUCUCCCGCCUAAAAUCCUGAGCAGCGGACAUUGAAGAUUAAGGACCCAAGCAAAAGCGUAACAUAAAAAUGGAGAAGCUGAAAACCUUGGCUUUAGUGGGAGGCGGAGCUUUUGUAGGUGCUGUUUCAACCUUGUUUCUUCUUAAGCGUCUCCCAAGAAGGAUUUCAAAUCAGUGCGAUAAAAAGGUUAUCGAAUUGAACGACACAACUGUCAAAUGCGCGAUCGAUCUUGGAAAUGGAAAUUGUGGGCUGGCUGGCUUGAACCUUCUAGCAGAUGAAAUAGUUUCUGAACAACUGACUAGGAAUAUCCAGUUCUUUGGCCUUGACUCUCAAGAAAGGUUACAACAUCCUAUGUCAUGGUCAUUGGUCUUGGAGGUGUAGCAAGUCAUGCUGCAUCUAUGCUUUUGAGAUCAGGAGUUGGCAAGCUCCUAUUGGUGGACUUUGACCAGGUAUCUCUUUCAUCAUUAAAUAGACACGCUGUUGCAACAAGAG